GCCGGGAUGUCGGAACUGGUAGACGAUUCGGACUUAAAAUCCGAUGGAGUUUAACUCCAUGAGGGUUCAACUCCCUCUCCCGGCA
rnacentral:tRNA from 1 species